GAGGAGAGUCAGAGGCACUGCUGAUGAUUCCGGGGCAAGAGCACUGACGACUCGGCUGUGCUUUGCUGAUUCCUCGCACGUCCCACUCCCUGGCUCGGACUCCUGUAGCAGCAGACGAGACAUGUUCCAGUGCAGCCUGCUAUGUGCAUUCCAGUUUUGCUGAUCCGUGCACCGAGAAGAUGAAGCGCUCGUCGCCCGAUGUCAGGGGU